AGAGGACAGUGUCAUUAUUGACACAAAAUGGUUGCGCUGUGUUGCUGGUGGUACUCGCUCGGAAUCGAGGGAGGAGAGGAGGACAGGCGGAAACAUAGGAAACCGGCGGAUGUCCUUAAAUACGAUAUUGCAGAUUUCUUCGAUGAUGGCAUGACUACUCCUACCCGGGCCUAUCUACAGGUCUGCUCUGCCAUGUCUGAAGCCCGCCUGGAUGACGUAAAGCCAAAUGCAACCCUUGCCGCACUGCCCUCCCAACAGCAGGAGGCGUUGCAGCCCUCGCCUGUUACCACUGUACAACAAAGGAGCAUUCUACGCACAGAGGAAAAAAACCAAAUGGCAGGACAACCAGAAGUCCACGAAGCAGGUGAGCAUCGCGGUGACACAGAGCGUUAGACAGGUGGAUAAGAAGAUCAAGGAGAAAUCCCUCACCACCUUUGAAGUCAUGAAACCAGUGGAAGACCUGAAGGAUGUGGCUGGAGGACGUGGCUAAAGGACGUGUCUGGAGGUCGUGGCUGGAGGUCGUGGCUGGAGGUCGUGGCUGGAGGUCGUGGCUGGAGGACGUGGCUGGAGGACGUGUCUGGAGGUCGUGGCUGGAGGACGUGGCUGAAAGAUGCAGUAGAAACAGCAGGGAAUAACACUGACGCACUGAAGUCUGAGAAGUAACGGGACCAAAGACUGUGACAAAAACAAUUCAUGGAGUGAGAAAGGACUGUUCAACGUUGAUCUGACCAAUCGGAAUCUAUGCUUCAAGAUUGUUUUUAUCACGCAGACUGGGAGAUGUUCUGGGUCGCCUCUGAAAAUAGUAUCGAUGUAUACACUGACUCGGCGACUGGGUUCAUCGGGAAGUGCAUAGAGGAUGUUGUACCCACUGUGACGAUUAGAAUUUAUCCAAAUCAAAAACUGUGGAUAGAUGGCAGCAUUAGCACAGAACUAAGAGCCACAUUUAACCAUGGCAAGGUGACGGAACAUGGACGUUUAGAAACAGACCAGCUACGACCUCCGUAAAGGCAAUCAAAAAGGCAGAAUGAGAGUACAGGGACAAAGCGGAGUCGGGAAUUCAUCGGCUCGGACACGAGAUGUAUGUGGCAGGAACUCCAGACAAUCACAGAUUAUAAAGGGAAAGCCAGCCACGUCACAGACCCCGACACCUCGCUCCCAGACGAGCUAAACACCUUCUUCGCCCACUUCAAGGAAAACAAUAUCAAGCCACCGACACGGGCCCCCCUGCCACUCACGAGGACUGUGUGCUCUCGCUGCCGGCCCAGACAGCAUCCCAAGCCGCGUCCUCAGAGCAUGUGCAGACCAGCUGGCUGGAGUGUUUACAGACAUAUUCAAUCUCUCCCUAUACCAGUCUGCUGUCCCCACUUGCUUCAAGAUGUCAACCAAUUUUCCUGUACCAAAGAAAGCUAAGGUCACUGAACUAAAUGACUCCCGCCCCAUAGCACUCACUUCUGUCAUCAUGAAGUGCUUUGAGAGACUAGUCAAGGACCAUAUCACCUCCACCUUACCAGACACCCUAGACCCACUACAAUUCACAUAAUCGCCCACUACAAUUCACAUAACCGUCUCAACAGAUCCACGGACGACGCAAUCGCCAUUCCACUGCAGACUGCCCUUUCCCAUCUGGACAAGAUAAAUACUUACGUAAGAAUGCUGUUCAUCGACUUCAUCCCCCGAGUUCCACCACAACGCAUCACCGGGGGGCACACUACCUGCCCUCCAGGACAUCUACAGCACCCAGUGUCACAGGAAGGCCAAGAAGAUCAUCAAGGACCUCAGCCACCUGAUCCACGGCCUGUUCACCCCGCUACCAUCUAGAAGAUCAUCAAGGACCUCAGCCUCCUGAGCCACGGCCUGUUCACCCCGCUACCAUCUAGAAGAUCAUCAAGGACCUCAGCCACCUGAGCCACGGCCUGUUCACCCCGCUACCAUCUAGAAGGAGGAGACAGUACAGGUGCGUGAAAGCUGGGACAGAGACACUGAUUAAUAGCGCCUAUCUCCAGGGCAUCAGACUGUUAAGUAGUCACCAC
rnacentral:lncRNA from 1 species